UAUAAGAGAACAGCAGAUUAAUUUGGAGUCAAAACUGGUUUCAUUAUAAUUGAUACAGGUCACAGGUCAUACUAUCUUCAUCUUCUACGUGAAAUCUGGUCGACACACAACUGAAGAAUGAAGACAGUUUUACUUCUGACUGUGUUCUCCAUUUGUCUGAGUUAUUACAUCAUUCUAGGAGCUGUCUUACCUGGAAGACUGUGUGCAAUCCCAGAAUGCGCUGCCCCGCCAUUUUGGUGUCAUUACGAGAGCAUGAUGGAUGCCAACGGUUGUAUGACUUGUGGUCAUUUGGUGUGCUCUCAAGACCCUUUUCUUUUAGGAGGAACUAACUAAAGUACAUCGACCAGGCUAAAUCUUCUUAGCUGGCUGCACCGCCAUCUGUCUUAUUGUAUGUAGUUCUAUAUACAAUGAACAAAAAAAGGUUUGACAAAUGACUCAAUAAAACUUAUUGAACCCUG